rnacentral:misc_RNA from 1 species
AAGUCGUAACAAGGUUUCCGUAGGUGAACCUGCGGAAGGAUCAUUACUCUUAGCUUAAGUGUACAUACACUUAUUGCUAUACAAACAACACCAAUCUGUGCUCUUGCUUUUUUCAUCCCACUUAUUACUCAAUAAUUUAUUAAACUGAUCCAAUUGUGUUUCAGCUCGACAGUAUUUACUGUUAGCUACACACAUCUGUAUUUGUACGGCCAGUGAUUUAUAUCUCUGUGUCAUGCCAAUACUUGUUGAACCACAGUAUAGUACUGAGUAUGCAUAUAGUAUAUAUGUUUUGCAUAUAUAGUAUAUUCACUCUUAUGACUAUCAGUGAAAACAACUCCGAACAAUGGAUAUCUCGGCUCUC